rnacentral:rRNA from 1 species
ACACGACUACAUUAGACUACCCUGUAGUCCUAGCCGUAAACGAUACUCGCUAGGUGUCGGCCACGGUGCGACCGUUGUCGGUGCCGUAGGGAAGCCGUGAAGCGAGCCACCUGGGAAGUACGGUCGCAAGACUGAAACUUAAAGGAAUUGGCGGGGAGCACCACAACGCGUGGAGCCUGCGGUUUAAUUGGAUUCAACGCCGGACGUCUCACCAGGGGCGACAGCAGAAUGAUGGCCAGGUUGAUGACCUUGCUUGACAAGCUG